GAUGAACGCUGGCGGCGUGCCUAAUACAUGCAAGUCGAGCGAACAGACGAGGAGCUUGCUCCUCUGACGUUAGCGGCGGACGGGUGAGUAACACGUGGAUAACCUACCUAUAAGACUGGGAUAACUUCGGGAAACCGGAGCUAAUACCGGAUAAUAUAUUGAACCGCAUGGUUCAAUAGUGAAAGACGGUUUUGCUGUCACUUAUAGAUGGAUCCGCGCCGCAUUAGCUAGUUGGUAAGGUAACGGCUUACCAAGGCAACGAUGCGUAGCCGACCUGAGAGGGGUGACCGGCACAAUGGAACCUGGACACGGGCCAGACUCCCACGGGAGGCAGGAGGAGGGAAACUUCCGCAAUGGGCGAAAGCCUUACGGAGCAACGCCGCGUGAGUUAUGAAGGGUUUUGGAUCGGAAAACUCUUUUAUUAGGGAAGAACAAAUGUGGAAGUAACUAUGCACGGCUUGACGGUACCUAAUCAGAAAGGCACGGCUAACUACGGG
rnacentral:rRNA from 1 species